GUGGGGAAUAUUGCACAAUGGAGGGAACUCUGAUGCAGCGAUGCCGCGUGAGGGAAGAAGGUUUUCGGAUUGUAAACCUCUGUCUUAAGGGACGAUAAUGACGGUACCUUAGGAGGAAGCUCCGGCUAACUACGUGCCAGCAGCCGCGGUAAUACGUAGGGAGCGAGCGUUGUCCGGAAUUACUGGGUGUAAAGGGAGUGUAGGCGGGACGGCAAGUUAGGUGUGAAAUGCGGAGGCUUAACCUCCGAGCUGCACUUAAAACUGCUGUUCUUGAGUGAAGUAGAGGCAGGCGGAAUUCCUAGUGUAGCGGUGAAAUGCGUAGAUAUUAGGAGGAACAUCAGUGGCGAAGGCGGCCUGCUGGGCUUUUACUGACGCUGAGGCUCGAAAGCGUGGGGAGCAAACAGGA
rnacentral:rRNA from 1 species